CGGUGUUUAACUGGCGUGAUGUGGGACGUCCUACCGGUGGGCUUAGCCUCGCGAGGGGCGGCCCAACUAAUAUCCCGUCGCGGUGCUCUUUACUGAGUGUCGAGUCGGGCCGGUACGUUUACUUUGAACAAAUUAGAGUGCUUAAAGCAGGCUAUCCUCGCCUGAAUACUGCGUGCAUGGAAUAAUGGAAUAGGACCUCGGUUCUAUUUUGUUGGUUUUCGGAACCCCGAGGUAAUGAUUAAUAGGGACAGAUGGGGGCAUUCGUAUUGCGACGUUAGAGGUGAAAUUCUUGGAUCGUCGCAAGACGGACAGAAGCGAAAGCAUUUGCCAAAAAUGUUUUCAUUAAUCAAGAACGAAAGUUAGAGGUUCGAAGGCGAUCAGAUACCGCCCUAGUUCUAACCAUAAACGAUGCCAGCUAGCGAUCCGCCGAAGUUCCUCCGAUGACUCGGCGGGCAGCUUCCGGGAAACCAAAGCUUUUGGGUUCCGGGGGAAGUAUGGUUGCAAAGCUGAAACUUAAAGGAAUUGACGGAAGGGCACCACCAGGAGUGGAGCCUGCGGCUUAAUUUGACUCAACACGGGAAACCUCACCAGGCCCAGACACCGGAAGGAUUGACAGAUUGAUAGCUCUUUCUUGAUUCGGUGGGUGGUGGUGCAUGGCCGUUCUUAGUUGGUGGAGCGAUUUGUCUGGUUAAUUCCGAUAACGAACGAGACUCUACCCUGCUAAAUAGGCGUACCUUAUGGUAUCGCGAAGGCCCCCGGCUUCGGCCGGUGGGUUUUUACUACCAACGUACAAACAAAUCUUCUUAGAGGGACAGGCGG
rnacentral:rRNA from 1 species